UAAGUGUAAUGAGCCUUUUCGGCAGCCUUGUGCUUUAACAACAAAACGCUGCUGUUUGGCAGCGAGGUCCGCAUAUGUUUAAGGGAGCGGGGUAACAGCCUAGAACCCCUCUCUCUUUGUAACCUGGCUUUAUAGUUUUAUCAUUAUUUAAAGCCUCCCUUUCAGCGAUUUUUUAACAACCAAAAUAUAUGCUGGCUAAUGUCAUCUGGAAACUGAAAGUCGAUGUUCAGCAACUCUCACUCACCAAUCCUACAACUUGGUGCUGUUUGUUUAAUUUGAGUCCAGUGUCUAAGAAUAAGUAAUGAACUCAUCUUGGGGACCAGCCAGAGCCUACAACUUUGAGACGACCCGUAAAUCCCUUUCCCUUUCCUUCUGGUUCUGGAAGGGAUUCUGUAGUUCAAAGAACGUCACAUGGAAAAUGAUGCAAAAGCUUCUCGGCUUCUGACUUUCUCCAAGCUCUAUCUAACAUUCGCCUCCUAGGAGUUCUGCUUAGAUCCUGACGCAGCUGAUGGCUUCUCGCCUUUCUCUCCCUCUUUUUCUACACUCUCCACUCCACUGGGCUGGAAGAGAUCAGCCUUAAAAGCAGGAGGGAGGUGACUGAGAGAAUAAAGCCAGCACACAGAUCAGAGAACAUGUAUCAGCAGAUAUUUGAAAACCUUACCUGUAACCCCACCUGCCAAGUUCUUGGGAGGGUUAAAUGCAAAAAUGUUUAUAUGUGCAGUCUGUACAAAUGGGGAAAGACCAAAAGAAUAGAAAGAACAUAGGUUCCAGAAUCAAAUUGCUUGGAUUCACAUUCUACCUUCAUCAGAUAGAAGCAAUUCAUGUAAACUCUCCGAACCUCAGUUUGCUCCACUGUAAAAUGGG